rnacentral:tRNA from 1 species
GGAUUGUGGCUCAGUGGUAGAGCACUCACGUAGCACGUGAGAGGCCCUGGGUUCGAUCCUCAGCACCA